AACGUAGGACGCAAGCGUUAUCCGGAGUUACUGGGCGUAAAGCGCGGGCAGGCGGCCCUGUAAGUCUGAUGUGAAAGCGCCCGGCUCAACCGGGCGAGGCCAUUGGAAACUGUGGGGCUGGAGGGCAGUAGAGGUCGGCGGAAUUCCGGGUGGAGUGGUGAAAUGCGUAGAGAUCCGGAGGAACACCAGAGGCGAAGGCGGCCGACUGGGCUGCACCUGACGCUGAGCCGCGAAAGCCAGGGGAGCGAACGGG
rnacentral:rRNA from 1 species